rnacentral:rRNA from 1 species
UGAACUUAAGCAUAUCU